GCACCCGUAGCUCAUCUGGACAGAGCGCGACUUUGCGGAAGUCGAGGCAGUAGGUUCGAAUCCUAUCGGGUGCG
rfam:Candidatus Blackburnbacteria bacterium RIFCSPHIGHO2_01_FTLL_43_15b rifcsphigho2_01_scaffold_1390, whole genome shotgun sequence.